rnacentral:lncRNA from 1 species
AGAAUCUGUAUCUGUUCAUUACUUCAUACAGUCCCUAGCCCAUUUAUUCAACUCUUUUUCUGAUUCAGAAUAAAGGAGCACAGGCAUCAGGCAGAUUUGGCCAAGCUAGAAAACAAAAGAGAAGGGGAACAAAUACAGAGAUUGAAUCGAUUGUACCAACUGGAAAUUCAGAGAGGAAAGGAAGAGGAACAGGAGGAAAAAGCUGAACGCCAGAGGCUGCAUCAUGAGUAUGUAGCUGAGCAGAAAAUAAUUAAAGCUGAAGAGAAACAAAAAGAAGAUGAUGAUGAUGAUCGGAUUGAGGCUUAUAUUAGAGGAAAAGAAAUGAUGGCUGAUCUGUCAAGAGAAAAAUAUGUGGAGACUAAUAGGCAAAUGCAGAAGCACAAGGACAAAGCUUUUGAACAAUUAACUGCACAGAUGAAUGAGGCAUUUAAGAUUGAAGAUGAUCGACUUGCUAGAGGAGCUGCAGAGGUAGAACACGAAUACCAACUGAAAAACAAAGAGAAAGAAGCAAAAGAAAAGGCUGCCAUUGAAUCGAUUGCUGAACACAGAGCUUAUGUGGUAAGAAACCUAGCCUGUUCUUAUUCCUCUUUCUGUCAUAUAUACUUGUAUUUCUGAAUACAUUUUAGAAAUAUCAUAUACUCCAGCAGAGCUAUCUUGAGGCGCACGUGCAAGUUCUCACCUAGCAGCUGCCUCUCAUAUUUACUAUCUGUAAUUUCAGAACUAUCUCCUUAAAGUUGAAAGCGGUACAUGUGAUGAUCCCCUCAAAAAAAAUUAAGAGUUGGAAGACCCUAUAAUUAUUGCUAAUUAGCACAAACAUUUUCCAGACUCCACUUCUUACUUUGACCGAGGAGCCUGGCCCAGAGCUGGUGGCUCUGGUGCUAUGCAUCAGGUGUGCUUCAUCAAGUCCACUGACACCUUUCCUGGGGUCGUCUUU